GCCAGCCCGCUCAGAAACUUAAAGGAAGUUGACGGGGGCCCGCACAAGCGGCGGAGCAUGUGGAUUAAUUCGAUGCAACGCGAAGAACCUUACCUGGGUUUGACAUACACCGGAAAACCGUAGAGAUACGGUCCCCCUUGUGGUCGGUGUACAGGUGGUGCAUGGCUGUCGUCAGCUCGUGUCGUGAGAUGUUGGGUUAAGUCCCGCAACGAGCGCAACCCUUGUCUUAUGUUGCCAGCACGUGAUGGUGGGGACUCGUAAGAGACUGCCGGGGUCAACUCGGAGGAAGGUGGGGACGACGUCAAGUCAUCAUGCCCCUUAUGUCCAGGGCUUCACACAUGCUACAAUGGCCAGUACAGAGGGCUGCGAGACCGUGAGGUGGAGCGAAUCCCUUAAAGCUGGUCUCAGUUCGGAUCGGGGUCUGCAACUCGACCCCGUGAAGUCGGAGUCGCUAGUAAUCGCAGAUCAGCAACGCUGCGGUGAAUACGUUCCCGGGCCUU
rnacentral:rRNA from 1 species